CCCAAUCCCCAAAAUCAAAAAAUGGUUUCUUCAAUCUCAGAAAACCUAACCAACGACCAAUACGUUUACCUCGCAAAACUCGCCGAACAAGCCGAACGCUACGAAGAGAUGGUUCAAUUCAUGCAGAAGCUCGUAACCUCUUCCACCUCCGAACUCACCGUUGAAGAACGCAACCUUCUCUCCGUCGCGUACAAGAACGUUAUCGGUUCCCUCCGUGCCGCGUGGCGCAUCGUAUCUUCAAUUGAAAUGAAGGAAGAGGGUCGCAAGAACGAUGAACAUGUUGUGCUUGUUAAGGAUUAUAGAUCUAAGGUGGAGAAUGAGCUUUCUAAUGUUUGUGAUAGUAUUCUUAAGCUUCUUGAUGAUAAUCUUAUUCCUUCUGCGACUUUGAGUGAGUCGCAAGUGUUUUAUUUGAAGAUGAAGGGUGAUUAUCAUCGUUAUUUAGCUGAGUUUAAGAUUGGGCAUGAGAAAAAAUCUGCUGCUGAAGAAACCUUUUUUUCUUAUAAGGCUGCACAGGUUCUCUUUUACUCAUAAUUGCUUUAAAUUUUCAAUUUUUUACUUGUUUAGAUUGGGAUUUAAGUUCUGUUUGUUUAGCCUUGGAAAAAAUUGAUUUUGAAAAUGUGAUUUACUUUUAAUUGAUGUUUAUAGAAGUUAGAUGGAUUUGGUUAAAUUUAAAUAUAUAAAAAAAAUCAAUUUUUACUUGAGAAGACCUGCUUCUCAAAAUAAUCAACAAAUCUAAUUAUUUUGAUAUGCUGCUUAUUCAAAAAAAUGUUACCUGAACAUAAGUCAUGUCUUGUAAAAAAUAUUAAAUUAGUUAAGAAAUUAGACAAAAUUUUAAUGUUCUGAUUUUGGGUUGUUUUUAAUUUUUUUCCCAUAGGAUAUUGCUCAAGUUAAUCUUCCACCCACACAUCCAAUUAGAUUGGGUUUGGCUCUGAACUUCUCUGUGUUCUACUAUGAAAUUCUCAACCAGUCUGAUAAGGCAUGUGGGAUGGCUAAACAGGUAUGCAUGGUUUAUGAAUUUCAAUUGGAGAGAUAAUCUGGCUUGUGUUAUUUGAUUUGAGCUGUAGAAGUUUGUCAAGUUUUGUUCUGCUAUAAUCUGUCCAGAAUUGCAUGAUUUAUUGAUAUAUGAAUUUCAAAUCUGAUUUAUUGUAAUGGCAUGAUUUGUACUUGCGCCGAGAAUGAUUUAUUGGAAUCUUAUAAAAGUAAGAGGCCCUGGUUCUGUUUGAGUUGGGUAUAUGGUCCUGUACCUAAGGAGAAGAUUGUUGAAAACUAGGAAUUUUGUUAAUUUCUCUAGUUUGGUUUGCUUUAGAAUCUGUUUUCUCCAAAUAUUGUGAAGUUUUAAGGAUCCAGUGUAACAUAACUUUUAUUCCACUCUGACCACAAACAGAAAUAAGGUUAACAUGGAUAGUAGUUCUUACUUAUGUGUGUGUACCCAUGAUAGUUGGGCCAAUGAAUUACAAUAACAUAGAAGUUUGACUUUCACAUUCGGGUUGUUUGCAGUUUCACAGGUGAGGCUAAGGUUAUUCUGAGGGAACUUAUAGUUUCUGAAAGUGAUUGUGUUCAGUGUGAAUUAUGGUACUACAUUGAAUGAAUUUGUACUAGUACCGAGUAUUUUUAACAUGAAGCUUGGUAAUUUUUUCACUUCAAUUGGACUAUUGACAAAAGGGGAAGUUGCAUACAGAAGCAAGUUAACAAAAAUACUUUCGCUUUGUUUCAACAGAACUAUUUUUUAGAAAUAAAAUGUUACUAUUUAUUUACAAUGAUGUUAUUAUGCUUUCCCUGUACCAAACUCCCGAAACUUUAACUCAAAAAUUAAAAAUUCCCCCCACAAAAGAAGUAUACUUCAAUUUGUCUAUAAAUUAAAACCAGUCAUAUCUUGCUGCAACCCUCAUAUAAGUCACAUGAUUCCAUGUUUUCUUGUGUUCCAUUCAUGCUUGGCUUCUAUUUUACCGAGUACUGCCGUAGGAGCAUAGUCUUAUUGAUCCUAAAAAUUUACUGAACCUUAGUCUUUCCAAUUUUUAAAGGCUUUUGAGGAAGCAAUUGCUGAGCUGGACACCCUGGGAGAAGAAUCCUACAAAGACAGCACUCUCAUAAUGCAACUUUUGAGAGACAACCUCACUCUUUGGACUUCUGAUGUUCAGGUAAAUAUUACUAUAACCGAACCCCACACCCAUUAUAGAAUAUUCUUCUGUAAAAACAGUUUGAUCAAUCUCUAUUUCCUAAUGCUAAGUUAAGCUAUAUUUGAUUCCCUGCAGGACCAACUAGAUGAGCCUUGAUAUUGAUUUGAGGGGUCAUAUUCUUCCUCUGAAGGAGGUGGGCUUUGAAUGUCAUUUCUUUGUGCUGAUUAAGAAUUGCCCUAGUUUAUAUAAGAUUAUUGACAAUCUGUGAUUAUAAUGUUUUGUGAACAGAAGAAGACCAAACCAAGUUUUUUAUUGUGUUAUGUGAUUUGGAAUGGAUUUUGUAUAAUGUGAGAUCCAAUCAAUUAUAUUUGGUGCAUUAUUAUUCUCACAUGGAAGUAGCAUCAUUCAUAUAUCAAUUGUGAUGAUAGUGCAUGAUGCUGACAUAUAUAUAUAACUUUUUCCAAUAUAAAUAUCUAAUUUGUUUGUUACAUAUCAAACACCAAUUUCUGAAAGUGUCCAAAAAAACACUAGAUUUGUAGGACUGGCUUUUCAAUACAAUUUGGCCCAAUGUUGAAGGUACCAAUAUUUUUUUGUUCUACUAAUUGAAAGAUAUUUCCCUUCUCAAUCUGUCAAAAGAUCUGUGUUGAAGUAGUGAGUAUAUGAUAUACUUACAUGAGUUAAUAAAGAAGCAGUCCUAUACAUGCUGAUGCUGCACUUUACUCCUCUAGUGAUAGCAAUAAUAUACUAAACAAUAACUUUACCGUUCACUGUUGUGCUCGUGCGUGCGGCCGGAAGGUUUCUCAAACAUGCAAAUUUCACACCAUGUUUCAACUUUUGUCAGCAAAUCCAAAUGAGUAAAAUUAUACUCAUUUUAGUUUUGUUGGUUGUUUUUUUGUUGGUACCAGCAUUUGAACAUGGGUCUGAUUGAUAUAAUUUCAAAGCAUCAAAGAGACCCAAAAUGCUAGUAAAUUAUACUCGUUUGAUAAUUUGGAAAUUCUUUUCAUUUCCUUCUUUAUAUUUCUUAUUAAUUUCACUCACCAAUUGGUUAGAAGAAAGAUAUGGGGUAUAAAAAUGGAGUUAGGAUCAUCUCCAUUAAUGGAGAGACAAGUAUACCUAAAACAUGAGUAAAAAGGUAAUAUGACUUAACAUUUUUAUCCUUAAGAUAUAAUGAAAUAACAUUUUUACCCUUACAUGUAAGUAUAAAAGUGAUCACUUACCUCUCCAUUAAUGGAGAGUAUCCUAACUCAUAAAAAUGAAGCCUAAUGAGUAUCUAUAGGGACCUAAACAAAUUAUCUUUUCGUUCUAUAGUAUGAACUUUAAGGAGUAUGAAGUUUCAUUUUUUAUUUGAUAUAAGUAAGUCGAUAAAGAAUCCAUUUAACUUCAUUUGUUCCAUGCCAAAAGCAUACCUACAUCACGAUAACCCUUCUUUGAAAAACUUUAGAGUGCUCUAGUUUUUGGAUAACAAAUGGACCUCCCGACAAUUUUAAUGUAGCUGAUUUCUCCUCGUUUAGUUAGGGUACAUGCUCUCUAGCUAAGGAUGUGUUAGGAAAGUUAAUAAAGGAUAUUAGAAGAACGUAUGUAUCUCAUUGACCAAAUAGUUGCAACGCUCUGUACAAUUUGAAACUACAUUGUAAUGUUACUUUUGGGUUUGAGAAACGUUUUAAAAAUUGGAAAUCGGUAAUUGUGAUUUAUUACAUUUAACGAAAUUGAAGGAAUUUAUUUUGGUAAAAAGCAAUGCGCUGACAUAUUAAUAUUUAUAGUUUUACACAGUACAAAGUGGAGAAAUUGGUGGCCAUCUUAAAUUCUUACUUAAAAUAAAAACAUGUUUACAUAAAAUAUAAGAUUUUCAUGAUAUUUUUGUAAGAGUUUAAUAUUUAAAUAUUCUUUUUGCAAAUAUUGUUACAUAAUUGAUACACCAUUCAUUACUAAUAUAUAUAUUAUUUGUAAUUAAUUUUAUUUAAAAGUCAUUAAGAAUUAAAAUAUAUAUGAAUGACAAGUGAUAUUCUUUUGGUACUGCCAAAUGUAUAAAUCAUUAAUUCAUUUUGAGGUUUGUGGCUAUCCCCUCUUAACAAGUGUUGUUCUCAGAAAAAAAUUAGAAAAUUAAUAAUACUUUUGACAAAAAGAUAUCAUUACUCUAUAUAUAUUUGAAUAGAUACACCAGUAACAAUGUUAAAUGUAACACGUUAAGGAGUCAUCUCCCUUUGCUGGUUAUGUGGAGACAUAACAAUUAGAUAAAUGCAUUUAUGUUUUUUAGUAUUAUAAUUUAAUGCUAAAUUUUAAUUAAGUGAUGAUUUUAAUGUGUUAUUUCUAUAUAAAUAUGUCUUCGUACAAGUUUUUUUCGAUAACAUUAUAGCAUGUAAGUUACGAAAUGACAAAGGGCAUCACUUAUGAAGGUGACACGUGGGACAAGUUACACAACAACAUGUGGUUUAGAAUAGUUGGCUCAUUUCUAAUUUCAACUAAUCCUCAAUUUGUCACUAAUUGUGAUGAAGAUGAGAAGGUCAUAAAAGUCCUAUCUGUCCAACUCAUGGAUGGUCACAAAUACAGCUCAAUCCUACACAUUACAUACCUUUAUUUAUAUUUUCACAUAUUAUUAUAUACUCCAAAAAUAUUAUUCUACACCUCACUCAACUUAUAAAUCUCCCAAAAAACUUAUUAUAAAAGGUUUAAUUAUUCAACUUAAAAAUAAUUCAAAUAAAUCUCUAAACUGUUUAAAAGUUAAAAUAGAUUUAUCUUUCUUUUUUGAAAUUUUUAUAAUUGUAAAUACAAAUACAGAAAUUAUUUAUAAAGUUCCCUCAAAAAUCAUUAUAAAAGGUUAAUUAUUAUAUACCUUCAAAAUACUUCAAAUAAGUCUCUAAAAUUUAAAAAUUCAAAUGAAUUUCAUAUAUUUCAUUUCGAAAAAUUAGAAUACUUUUUUUUUUUGUUUAGAAUACUUAUAUUAUUUCUUGUUUUUAUUACAAUGUUUAAUAAUUUAAAGAGAGAGUUGUGACUAAUGUAUUAAUGAAUACUUAGGAUUAUAUAGUUUUUUUUAAUAUGUUAAAAACAAAAUGAAAGUGAAAAUUACAUAUUACAAAUAUACGACCAAAUUUAAAUAAAUAAACAAAUCUCAAUGUAUAAUUUCUAGUGCUGCCAAUAGUAUUUUUCACAUUUUUACGUAAGGAACUAAUUGAUUCUUCCAACAACUGCUGCUUCUAAGAAUCGAAUCUUCAACAACUGCUGCUUCCAAGAGUCGAAUCUUCAACAACCUUGAGAUGAAGUACAAUGAGAUCUUACAUCAUGAAACCAAUUAGUUCUAUAUGCAUCUUUGAAUUAUAAUCAUAUAUUACCAUUUUUAAUUGAAAAACUAUUUAAAUUUCCUAAUAAACUAUAUUCUCAUACAUUAGUAUAACCGAAUAAAGGGGCGCAUAUAUGCUGUUACACAUUUAGUAUUAUUAUAUGUAAUAUGACUUUAUGAUUUAUCAAAAAAUUUCUUAAAAAUUAAAUUAUAACUUAAAUAUAUUUUUUUAUACAAUCACAUAUGCUGCCAUGUGAUUGUUUGUUUUCAUUCAUUAAAAUAUGAUAAGAUAGAUUUAUUAUGGAGGGCAACGAUUUAAAUUUCCAUUAUAUUUUUUACUUUAUAUAUUUUGAUUUGCACUUAUAAUUUUAUCAUAUAUUUUAUGUAUUUUUAUUAUUUUAUACGCGUAUCCCCUGAACGUAUCGUAUCCUGUAUUUUGGAAAGAAAAAAAUACGUAUCGACGUAUCAGAUACGUAUCAUACCCGACAUAGGUAUCACUAAUAAACCUCACCCACCAUAAAAACACGCAGUCUCUCUUUCAGUCUCUCUUCUCGUCUUUGACAAUCCCAAUCCCCAAAAUCAAAAAAUGGUUUCUUCAAUCUCAGAAAACCUAACCAACGACCAAUACGUUUACCUCGCAAAACUCGCCGAACAAGCCGAACGCUACGAAGAGAUGGUUCAAUUCAUGCAGAAGCUCGUAACCUCUUCCACCUCCGAACUCACCGUUGAAGAACGCAACCUUCUCUCCGUCGCGUACAAGAACGUUAUCGGUUCCCUCCGUGCCGCGUGGCGCAUCGUAUCUUCAAUUGAAAUGAAGGAAGAGGGUCGCAAGAACGAU
rnacentral:lncRNA from 1 species